UAUCUUCAUGUAAAGGCCAAUGGUGGAUGAUGGAUCCCAUCCCAUGCAUCACAUGGAUGACUAAUGAACUUUUAUAAUCUCGACUGAUCGAUAUCGUCUUAUCAUUAUCUAAGCAGUUUAGUUUUCAAACAUGAUUACGUAAUAAACAAUAUCCUUUUAUCUUGGGUAAAGUCUAAAGCCAGAAAUAGUUUAUUCAGCUGCUACCUAACUUUAAUUUUAUAUAUGCAAUUGUUAACCAUUGCCAUUAUUCUUCAUGUUUUAUACGAUUUUCUAAAUUAUUCAAAAUUACAAGAAGAAGAAUUCUAAGUACAAAAAAAAUGAAUAUAUAGUUCUAACAAACUAGCUUAUAACUCACAUAUACGUUACAACUCCUGGAUGGUUUUGUUCAGCUAACGCUUACUUUUUUACAAACUAAUCUUUCUUUCUCUAUGCUCUUACUCUAUCUGGAAAUACUUGAUCCAAAUAAUUGAUUAGAAGCAGCUAAUUAAUUGGUUGCCGAAUCAGAUUACUCAUAUGCAAGAACUUAAAUGGUAGAUAUUUUGACAGGCCAUGAGGGGAACUGAUGGGAACACCAUACAUAUUCAAACAAAUGAUAUUACUGAGUCAUGACCCACUUCGAACAGAAUUUGGUUGCUUAAUUUGUCAAAUAUGUGAUGACCUGUGCUUCAUUACAAAAUUCAAGACGUGAUGUUUAUAGGCUACAUUCAAUAUACGAUCGAGAAAUAAUUCACAAACGCGAACUGGUUCUGCUUGGAGUGACCCUCAAGGUGUCUCCACCAGAAUGGACUUUAUAACUACGUUAAAUAAUUUGGUCUCUUGGAAUUUUGGUUAAUUUGAUUGAGUACGAUCUCCAUCAAAGACUCUUCUUCAAGACUUUAGACACCCUGGUGGCUGGUGCUCAGAGUUCAACCACGUACGUCAAAACAAAAGAAAAAAAAAUGAUUUGGAAACAUUUGAAAGAAAUAAAAAUCACUAUAUACGUUGCCCAAUUAGUGAGAUUCGUAAAUAUACUCAAGAAGGCAAUUAAUUAGAAAACCUGAUUUUAAACAAGUAGUUACGAUAUCAUUAUUAUUUGAAAUUAAUUUUCAUUUUUAGGUGAGUUUUUGCUCACCUCUUAAUUAUGGUGUAGCGUUUCUUUUCUUUGUGUUUUUCUUAUGACAAAAACGGACUUCUUUUUGCCCUCCAAUUUAAUUGUUAAUCGCUAUAAAAGUAGUUUGCAUUCCAAGUUAAUGUGACAUCUGUUUCUCUCUCACUUUUCUCUUUAUUUCUCAAGACAAACAAGAUACUAACAAUGAGCAUAUAUUGUCCUAAUUGCCUCCUCCUAGUCCUCACCGCCUUGUUGUAUCUUUUCGUUGCUAUCACCGCGUUUGGAGUAGGAGGAGGAGAAGAGCACCUUUACCCUCCCAAGUACCCUCCUCUAAGGGGUGGGUAUUUCCCCUUUGACAACCUGAACGACCCACGUUUGAGGGAGAUCGCAGAGUUCGCCAUUUCCAAGUACAACAAGAUUCAUGACCAAAAACUAGUGUUGCAAAAGUUGGUUCAUGGACAGUUCCAAAUAGUGGAGGGAACCAAUUACAAGCUUGUCAUUUCGGUUCUCAAUUCUUCCAAGAUCUUUAGCGGCCCAAUCAACUAUGAGAUCAUUGUGUUCGAAAAUCUUUGGAGGACUAUUAAGGAACUGAAGUCCUUUGUUCGAGUCCAAAUUAAUAAAACUUAAAUCCAGUCCACCUUAUUUUUAAGGUUUCUGGAGUCCUUUCUCAUUUCUUUCUUAUAUUUUUUAGAGCAUUAUCAACUAAUAAUAUAUAAGUUACUUUCACAUGAUGCAUUAUGAGUUCGAUUUUUUGUGUUAGUUAAUCAUGCGAAGGUGGCCAAAGAGAGGCUAAAAUGUCUUUGUGAGUCUUCCCGACUUCCGAAAUGAAUGAUUACCGUGGUGAAGCCACCAACUAGUCCUCUUUUUCUAAAUAAAAAAACAACAUAAUACAAACACAGUUUGGAAACAACUCAAUUUCAUUACUUUUCUCAUAUUCUCCUUUACUCACUCUUUUUUGUUCGAUGGCAAAUAAUUUUAUCGUUUGUGAAAUAACCAACAAAACGAUAUAAGAACAUGAAAAAAUUAAACUAAUUAACAAUCUCGCAUGUAAAAAAGUAAAUUUUUUUUGGGGGUAAAGACCGUGAAGUGUCUGCACACCCGAAAAGUGUGACCAAUAUCUACUCAAGGUUUGGCUUGACACUGGCCACAAAGUGCUUUCGUAAAAUUUCUGGCAAAUAUAAAAAACGACACGUAGUUUUCUUUUUGUUCAUGUUUGUUUCGUCCAUAUAAUUUGGUGAAGCUUUUGACGUCAAAAAGAGGAAGGGCUAAAUUUUAGUAGAUGAUGCAAAAAAGGAUAGUGACAUUGAUCCAUAAGAAGCUCAACAAACUCUUGAAAUACCGGAAGCUAAUUUGAGGAAAGCUAAAGGCAGGAGACAAACAAUUGAAGUUAAUUUGUUAAACCCUCCGUGCCUUUCCUUUUUAGUCAUUAAAACCCACAAAACAAAAGAAAUAAUAUCAUUUUUGUUGUAGGCCUAUUUGAUUGAAAGAUUUAAGGUUUAGAGAGAGAGAUAGGGGUUCGGCAAUAUUGAGAGAGAAGAGAGAUUGAUUUAAUUGUGAGGUGUGUUUGAUUCACCCCAUUGUGCCUUUAUUUAUAGUAGUAGGAAGGGUAAAACCUUUCCCUUUAGAAUUACAAUAUUUAAUAGAUAAUCUAAUCUUAAUAGGAAUAUAAGAUAUUUUCCCAUAUUCCCUAGGAUUUACACAAUCACAUUCCUAUUCUAAAUAUGACUGCAACACUCCCCCUUAAGUGUGUAAAUACUCAACAAAUCAUCCCAUCAGAUCUUCAGCAGAUAAGGUAGAAUAGUUGAUGAAGUCAUCGGCACAACGGGUGAUCGCGAGUCUCAAAUUUAAGUGAAGUAUGCAUUUGUAGUAAAACUCACAAAACCUCGUUAUGGUAAAACCCAAUGCAUGGGGAAAACCCAUAGACUAAGGAGAAGAGUGAGAAGUAUGAUCAUCCCAUGAUGGGUGCCUCAUUAAAACCUCGUUAGGUAGCAAAACCCAGUGGAAAAAAUGCUUCUAAUCGUAGGGAAAAUAGUACAGUAAGAUCAUGUGAGUAUGCUUCUAGAUACUCUCCUUAAGUUAGACAUAACUUCUAAAUAAGAGAACUACAAACGAUGCAACUUAGAUAAUUUACGCAUAUCGAUUCCUUGGAUGGGUUUCUGAAAUGUAGACUUGGGCAAUAACUUGGUAAAGAGAUCGGCCAGGUUGUCCUGGGAACGGAUUUGCUUGACUUCAAUGUUCUGAUGUUGUUGUUGCUGGUGUGAUUAAAAGAACUUUCAUAAUAUGUGCUUGGUGUUGUCUCUUUUGAUGUAUCCCUUCUUCAGCUGCUCGAUACAUGCUGCAUUGUCUUCAAAGAUCAUCGUAGGAAGGUCAACGACUGAUGUAAGACCACUAGUGCUUCGAAUAUGUUCCAUAACUUCUCUUAGCCAAAAGCACUCACGCGAUGCUUCAUGUAGGGCGAGAAUCUCAGCAUGGUUAGACGAAGUCGCAACUUGCGUUUUCUUGGUAGACUUCCAAGAUAUAGCGGUGUCUCCAACGGUAAAGACAUAACCUGUUGAGAACGUGCUAUAUGUGGGUUAAACAGAUAUCCAGCAUCUGCAUAACCAACAAGGCGAGAAUCAUUCCGAGGGCCAUAGAGGGCGACAACACUUGGAGAUUAGCGAGUAUAGAACAAACCCAAAUUCGUAGUACCUUUGAGGUAGCGAAAAAUGUCUUUAACACCAUUCCAGUGCCUGCAUUUGGGUGCAUUGUUGUAUCUAGCCAAUAGAUUCACAGAGAAUGAGAUGUCAGCUCUAAUGCAUUGAGUCAAGUACAAUAAAGCCCCAAUUGCACUUAAGUGAGGAACUUCGGGUUCCAAAAUCUCUUCCUCAUCCUCCUUUGGACUGAAGGGAUCUCGUUUAGCAUCUAGAGUUUGAACAACCAUACGUGUACUCGAAGGCUUCGCUUUAUCUUCAUUAAAACGUCAUAACACCUUUUGGGUGUAGUUCGAUUGAUGUACUAGGAUUCCAUCCGAACAAUGCUCGAUUUCCAGGCCGAGGCAAUAUCGAGUUUUCUAAGAUCCUUUACCUCAAAUUCUGAUUUCAAGUGUGUAGCAAUUUCCUCAAUCUCUGCGGCAGUCCCAAUGUGGUUCAUGUCAUCGACAUAAACUGCAAUGAUUGCAAAUCCGGAAUCUUGAAAAGCUGCAAUCUGCCUCGAUUGUCAUCCACCAUUCUUGUUUUAAAAAUUAAAUUAAAUCAGAAAUUAACAUUUUGUAAAUUUCAAGAAAUUUUAUUCUGUUGAUGCACAAAAUCAGCGAAGACUUUGGUACAACAGAAAGUGUCAGGUUUUGUGACCUUCGCUUGGUUGCUUCGGUCACUAGUGAGGAUAAGUACGUAAAUGAAUAGAGACAGAGAAGCAAACACAGGAUGUACGUGGUUCACCCAGAUUGGCUACGUCCACGGAGUAGAGGAGUUCUUAUUAGUAGUGAAGGGCUUACACAAGUACAAAGGAUCAAGCUCUCAAUUUAGUGAGUUCUUGUGAAUGAUUUAACACAAAAUGGCAUUAGGCAAUAUUGUGGGGGAAUGACCCCUAUUUAUAGAAAAACUUGUAGCUUUGUCACAUUGACAUGUGUCAUGUUAUGAUUGGUUCUUGAUGUCGACACGUGCUGCGCUCUGAUUGGCUUCUAAUCUUGACACGUGUCGAGUAGUGAUUGGCCUCCUGGUCGGAGGGGAACUCUUCUGGGUCCUUGACAGUAUAGCGUUGGCCGGUGCUCGGUAGUUUCGGGAUUGGUCAAGUAUGGUACAAACAGUGCUCCCCUAAGUUCCCGAGUGAGGGAAACUCCUCGGUUGGGGACUUGCAAGAUCCAAUCCCUUGAGUAAUCACGAAACUUCUAAGUACCGAAGUGUGGUCUGAUCUUCAUCUGCCCUUCUCUGGAAGUACCUUUCCUCCAUCCGGGAAUGGUGUACUUUAGCUGAUGUUGACGCACAAGGUAAUGUAUCAAUUUCACUUGAAGCUUAGUUGUAGUUUCGGGCUUAGUCAAGUGUGAUACAAACCCUAUAGUAGGAGUCCCCCAAGUCGCCGAGCUAGGAGAUCUGCCGAAAGAGGUGACAGACAAGGUAAGCAGUCAAACUUCCAAGUAAGCAACCCAGGAUCAGAGGUUUGACUUCGGCUUCCGGUUGAUUGUUCUCCUUCUCCUUGUCUCUCAUUCAACUGCCAGGAUAAGGAGAAGCAAAUGGAUAAGAGAUGAUAUGAGAUACUUUUGCUUUUGAAGAAGUAACUUUCCACAGGCUUAUUCUUGAACUGUGCUGGAGGGUUUUCUGGUGCCCUUCAGAGUAUAAGGCCGACUCAAAAAUUUGAGGGUCAAAACAAGUCCAUCAAAUCUAGAGUACGUUCGACCUUGAUGAUAUGGGAUACUUUUGCUGUUGACGGAAUAAUGAAUGUGGUAUGGAAAGGUGUCGUGCUGUAGUGAUCUGUUUCAGCUCACCGUUGAACCUUCUGCUUCAAUCUUUUGCAUGGCAGAAGUGGUGUGCAACCUUUGCAUUUAAAUGGUCCUUCAGAACAUUCCUUCAUAGUGACUCAUCCACGCUUGGCAGCUUCAGUGUAAAGAGCCAAUAUCUGAUCAACUGUCAUGAGGUAUUUGCCGGUGGAAUUCGUGACCUUGACAGCAGUUGAGGAUGAGUACUCGAGAGCAAUGCUAAGUAAGCAACCAGGCAAAGGCUCCAGGCAGUCAGUUCCAAAUUGGAGGUUUGAUUUCAGGUUCCGACUGACUGCUCUCUUUCUCCUUGUCCUGCAGGUGUGGACAAGGACAAAGACAAAGACAGGGAGAAAGCAUGAUAUGGGAUACUCUUGCUUUCGACCCUGAUGAUAUGAGAUACUCUUGUUCUUGGUGUGGCUUAUUUGCUGAGGUAUUAUCGGGGGGAAAUAAAGCUGAGUAUUUCGAGAGGUUAUGUUGAGGGUGCCUUUUCGAAUGCGAGAAAGGGUUGAGCAUUUUUGCAGGUUUGCCUGUCCGUUGAGGAGGGAGGUCAAUGUAUAUAGGGAUUUCCCAAUAACAAGUAGUAAUGCUAUUCCUUUACCCUUCUUGGUCACAGCAAUGUAGUGGGAGCUGCCAGCUUCACGUGUUUUAAUUUUGUCAGAGCACUUUGAAAAAGUGGUAUGUGGUAUCUGGAAAGCUGAUAUUACGUGUGAAGAUUACAGACAAGCUUUAUCUAAGGAAAUCUGGCUCUCGAAGUUCUGAGAGUUGUGCCUCUUCGGUUUUCGAACAAGCAAUCCCGUCGAGGAUCUGACUCUCGAGAUUCGGAAAGCGGUGCUACUCCGGUUUUUGAGAAAGUAAUUAUGUUGGGAGUCUUUUCUCUCGAAUGUGAGUAAAGGUUGGACGUUCUUGCCAACCUGUCUUGCCGCAAAACACGGAGGUCGACACACAUAGGGACUUUCCAGUUGUCAAGCAGUGGUGCUGUUCCUUUACCCUUAUGGGUAAUAGUAGGGUAGCUGGAACUUCGAAAUUCUCGUGCCUAAACUUUGUCAGAGAUCUUUGACAAAGUUAUAUGUGGUACCCGAGGAGUUGAUGGUGCAUAUGGAGAGCGGUGAUUGAACAGUAAGAUUCACGUGCUUUCUACUUCACCAGAAAUCUUCGACAGAUUGCCCGUAAUUUCCGCAAAGCUGAUUGUGCAUGUGACAGGUGCUGACGAGGCUGAAAAAGCAGGUGCUUCUUCGAUUUCUGAGAUCGGCCCUCGUGGUCUCUGAGCAGCCCAGCUUUUGAGAAAGCAAACGCCUCUUCGAUUUCUGAGAUCGGCCCUCGUGGUCUCUGAGCAGCCCAGCUUUUGAGAAAGCAAACGCCUCUUCGAUUUCUGAAGCUCCGUCGAGUGCAGAUUUUUAUAGAGGCUGGCAUUAAGUUCCACAGCACACUUGAAUCUCUACCAGUAGAAGCUCAUUUCUUGCACUUCUAAGAUCUUGAUUUGUCUGACCUCUUCCUUCUUCAACACAUUUGAAAAUGUCUGGACCCUCCGACCGUCGUUUUGACUUGAACCUUGGAGAAGAGACAGCCACGCCUUCUCCAGACAACAUAUGGCGCCCAUCCUUCAUAUCCCCUACUGGUCCUCUUACCGUUGGGGAUUCUGUGAUGAAGAAUGAUAUGACCGCUGCAGUGGUGGCCAGGAACCUUCUCACUCCCAAAGAUAACAGACUACUUUCCAAACGGUCUGAUGAGUUGGCUGUUAAGGACUCUCUGGCUCUUAGUGUUCAGUGUGCAGGUUCUGUGUCUAAUAUGGCCCAACGCCUAUUUGCUAGAACCCGCCAAGUUGAAUCAUUGGCUGCUGAAGUGAUGAGUCUCAAACAGGAGAUUAGAGGGCUCAAGCAUGAGAAUAAGCAGUUGCACCGGCUCGCCCAUGACUAUGCUACAAACAUGAAGAGGAAGCUUGACCAGAUGAAGGAAUCUGAUGGUAAGGUUUUACUUGAUCAUCAGCGGUUUGUGGGUUUGUUCCAAAGGCAUUUAUUGCCUUCGUCCUCUGGGGCUGUACCUGGUAAUGAAGCUUCAAAUGAUGAACCUCCAAUGCCUCCUCCUUCUGGGGUUUUGUCAAGUACUGAGGCUCCGGAUAACCACCCUCCGGUGCUUUCUCUUUCUGGGGCUCUACCGACUGCUGAGACUUCCCCUAAGCAACCUUUGUGAAGGCUCCCUUUUGUUUGUUUAUUUUGACUCAUGUAUAUGUACAUAUUUGUGGCUUAUCGAAAAUAUUAAUAAAUAAGCUUUGCUUCAUUUCAACAUAUUGUGUUAAAUACACCAAAGCCUUCUUCAUAAAGUUCUUUGAAUUUUUGCUUUUGUUGAAACCUGUAUUGUUGAAGCUUUGUGAGUGAAGCAUGUAGUUUGAGGUAGUGUUCCCUUAAUUUCCCGAGUGAGGAAAACUUCUCGGUUGGAGACUUGAAAAAUCCAAGUCACUGAGUGGUUGUGAGACUUUUGCCGAGUAUCCAAGGUGCGUAGUAGCAUAUGGUGGGAGUCCCCCAAGUCUUCAGGCGAAGAGAGUUGCCGAAUGAGGUGUCUCGCGUGUUACUAAUGUUGUCAAAGUAACGAAUUCCUUGUUUCGAUUUGUCACACAUUCGUAUAUGCUUUAUCUAAAAAAUAUUUCCAACUUUUGUGUGUUUGAUGCUGCAUGCUAUUGACUAGACAAAAAGAUCAAAUGUGCAAUUAGUAGCUUUUCUCUCUUUUUCAUCUUUUCUUUGGUGGAAUUGCUUUUUCGUUUCCACUAAUCAGCCUGAGUGGAUGCAAGAUAACACCUUUCUCUAUAGCUCAGAUUGCAAAGUCGUCUUCAUGAAAGUUUUUCCUUAUCUUGUGAACUACAACAUAUCCAAAUUUGAGAGAUCCAUCGGAGUAGUACAACUUCAGAAAUUCAAGUAUGAUGAGUAACUGUUCAUCAAUGUUCUGUUAAUCCGUCAGACUUUGUUGUGAGCUUCGAAACUCCAUUUUCUCUUGUUCAGAUCAACAUACUUUCUUCAUCGAAGUUGUUCCUUAACUUGUGAACUACAACAUAUCCAAAUUUGAGAUCCCUCGGAGCAGUAUAACUCCAGAAAUCCAGGUAUGAUGAGUGACUGUUAUCAUUUGUCUGUCAACCCGUCAGAUUUGUUGUGAGCUUUGAAACUCCAUUUUCUCUUGCUUCAGAUCAGCAUGCUUUCUUCAUUGAAGUUGUUCCUCAGCUUGUGAACUACAACAUAUCCAAAUUUGAGAUCCCUCGGAGCAGUAUAACUCCAAGAAAUCCAGGUAUGAUGAAUGACUGGUUAUUAUUUUUCUGUCAACCCGUCAGAUUUGUUGUGAGCUUCGAAACUCCAUUUUCUCUUGUUCAGAUCGGUAUGCUUUCUUCAUUGAAGUUGUUCCUCAUCGACUCUUUCAUAACAUAUCAAAAAUUCAGGAUGAACUAACGGUUAAAUAUUUCCAGAUCUUCGAAACAUCACAACAGCUUCGAAAUCUGCAAGAAGCCGACUAUCAUGUUUGGAGCUUCAACACUUUAAUUUCCGUCGCUCAAACAGAAAUGGUUCCUUCUUGAAAGUUGUUCAUAUGCUCAAGAACUAUAGGGUGUCCAAAAUUCAGCUCCAUUGGAGAAGAGCAGAGGUUGCAGAAAUUUGAUAGAUGAAAGGAGGCGGAAGAGGGAGAGAGAGAAAAAGUCUCUUGGGUUGGAUUUCUAUUUUGGGGCAGAUUCCAAUUUUUGUAGCACCUUCAUUAUUGAUGAAUUGCUUGUACUUUUGUCCAUUAUGAAACUUUGGGACUUUGGCUUGUUGUUGGAUCUAUUAUAAUAUGUUUGGGAACAUAUAUAAGUGAAUAAAUAAGAAGGAAAAUUUUGGGCCCUUGUGGGUGUAAAACAAAAAAUGUUUAUGUUUACCCAAGUGUUUUUGUACAAGUUCAAGGGCAUCUUGGGUUUUGUGAACAAAAUUUGUUUAUUUGGAGCAAGGUUUUGUGUUGAAGCUUUGUAGGUGAAGCUUUCUAGGUGAAGCUUUGAUGGUGAAGCUUUGUAGAUGAAGCUUUGUAGAUGAAGCUUUCUAGGUGAAGCUUUGAUGGUGAAGCUUUGAUGGUGAAAGUAUGUAGAGGGAGCUUUCUAGGUGAAGAUUUUUUAGGUGAAGCUUUGUAGGUGAAGCUUUUUUAAGUGAAGCUUUUCGGGUGAAGUUUUUUUUUUUGGGAAGCUUUGUGGUGAAGCUUUUUAGGUGAAGCUUUGUGGGUGAAGCUUUGGAGGUGAAGCUUUUGGGUGAAGCUUUUUGGGUGAAGCUUUUUAGGUGAAGCUUUGUGGUGAAGCUUUUUAGGUGAAGCUUUGUGGGUGAAGCUUUGGAGGUGAAGCUUUUCGGGUGAAGCUUUUUGGGUGAAGCUUUUUAGGUGAAGCUUUUUUGGGUGAAGCUUUGGAGGUGAAGCUUUUCGGGUGAAGCUUUUUGGAUGAAGCUUUUUUUUUUUUUUUUUUUUUUUUUUUUUUUUUUGGCGCUUGACACGGUCUUCAUUUGCUUGUUUUGUAGUGACUGUGGAAGACGGAUUGCUUUCUGAUUGAGAAGGGUUCCGGCAUCGCUUGCUAUGAAUGUAAAAGAGUGAGGGCUGAGUUGGCUAAAUUACCUCUUUAUUGAAUUCAUUGCCAAAUGGCCUUCAUUACAUAGGAUGCCGAACGGCUAUAGCUCAACACUUGUACAUCGUGAGUCUAUUUGUAGUAGUACUUCAAGUGAUCAGCGUUCCAUGGAUGGCCAAGGGUCUUGCCAUCGGAGCUUCUAAGUGUGUAAGAGCCAGGGCGACUGAUGCCAAUGACUUCAUACGGUCCAUCCCAGUUUGGACUAAGUGUGCCUUCACUCGGGACUCUGUCGCAGAGUAAUCUUUUCUUUAAGACCCAGUCUCCUAUUUUGAAAGAACGAGGCUUGACCCUAGAGUCAUAAUAGUUGGAGAUGCGCUGCUUGUAGGCGACAUUCCUCAAGUGAGCUUGGUUUCUGUGUUCCUCGACUAAAUCCAAGUUGAGGGUGAGUUGUUUGUCAUUUUCACUUUGAAUGUAGUUCUGGACUCGGAAUGUUGCUUGCUCGAGCUCAACAGGGACAACCGCCUCUGUGCCAAAGGCAAGUGAGAAUGGAGUUUCUCCUGUUGAAGUCCGAUAUGAAGUGCGAUAUGACCAAAGAACUUGGGGUACAAAUUCUGGCCAACAGCCUUUAGCUUUGUCCAAGCUGGUUUUCAAAGUGCGCUUGAUUAUUUUGUUGAUGGCCUCAACUUGUCCAUUAGACUGGGGAUGAGCUGGAGAGGCAAAGCAUAAGUUGAUGUUGAACUUAGAGCAGAACAACCUGAACUUCUUGUUGUCAAACUGUCGCCCAUUGUCAGUGACUAUCGCAUUGGGAAUGCCGAAUCUACAAAGGAUGUUCUUCCACACGAAGUCUUCUAUCUUUGCCUCAGUAAUGGUUGCCAAGGGUUCUACUUCGGCCCACUUUGUGAAGUAGUCCACUGCAACGACUGCGUAACAGACUUUGCCCUUCCCUGCCGGCAUUGGGCCGAUCAAAUCAAGUCCCCACUGGGCGAAGGGCCAAGGGCUGAUCAUAGGAGUAAGAGGCUCUGGAGGGGAAUGAGGAAUAGUUGCAUAUCGUUGACAUUUGUCACAUGAGCGGGAUACUUUGAUGGCAUCCUGGUGGAGUGUUGGCCAGUAAUAUCCUUGGCGAAAAGUCUUGUGUGCUAGGGACCGAGAUCCAGCAUGAUCUCCACAGACUCCCUCAUGUAUUUCCCGAAGGACGAUUUCCGCCUCGGCAGGCGUAAGACACCUUAAGUAUGGCAGGCUAAAACCUCGCUUAUAGAGUUGAUCAUUGAUGAUCAGGUAGCGGGUAGACUUGUAUCGAAUUUGCUUAGCCUGGACUUUAUCAUUUGGGAGGGUGCCAUGAGCAAGGAAAUUAUAGAUCGGGGUGAUCCAACUAUCCCCCUGUUGUAAGUUGCAUACUUCUGCGGCCAUGGUGCUUGGUGUUGCCAACAGUUCGACAUGAAUUUUUCUUCCAAUCUUGUCUUCCACAGCUGAGGCGAGGCGAGCCAGGGCGUCUGCAUGACUGUUUGCCGCUCGAGGAACUUGGGUGAUCUGGUAGUGGAAGUGCUUGAGCAAAAGUUGUGUUUGCGCAAGAUAUGCUGCCAUGGAGCUGUCCUUAGCAUCAAAGUUGUUGGUAACCUGGUUGACCACUAAUUGGGAGUCACUGAAAAUAUCAAUUUGUUUAACCCCGAGGUGUUUGGCCAAACGUAAUCCUGCUAGAAGGGCUUCAUACUCGGCCUCAUUGUUUGAUGCCUUGAAUUUGAAACGAAGAGCAUACUCCAUUGCUACUUUGUCGGGCGUAGUCAAGACUAGUCCCGCUCCACAGCCCUGUUGGUUGGAUGAGCCAUCAACAUACAGACUCCAUGCUGAGGUCGUUGAUUCUACUUUCUGAGCUUCCGAUGGUAAUGAAGCUACUGCUUCAGGUGUAGAAGCAAUGUCAACAGGAUAUGUGAAGUCGGCGAAUGAAAUCUGCUACUGCUUGGCCUUUUUCGGCUGGUUUUGGUUGGUAGGAGAUGUCAAACUCACCCAAUGCUAUCGCCCAUUUGAUCAUUCGCCCAGACGUGUCAGGACUUUGGAGUAUCUGUCGAAGAGGGUGAAUUGGUAAGCACGAUGAUGGCGUGUGCUUGGAAAUAAGGGCGAAGUUUCCGAGCAGACAUGACCAAUGCUAGAGCCAAUUUCUCAAUGUUGGAGUAGUACCGUGUCUCCGCAUCUUGUAAGGCCUUUGCUAGCGUAGUAGACAGGGCCGUUCGACACCAUUGUCCAUUUCGAAUGAGAACAGGAACUUACUGGCUGAAGCUGAUACCGAUAGGUAGAUAAUGAGAAUGUCUCCUACUUCGGGCUUUUGGAGAGUAGAGGGGCUUUACUCAUGUACUCUUUGAGGUUUUUGAAUGCCUCGGCACAUUCAUCAGUCCAUGUAAUGUACUUCCUACUUCCCUUAAGUGCUUUAAAAAAGGGAGCACAUUUGUCUGUGGCCUUAGAAAUGAACCUGGUUAAGGCUGCCACCUUGCCAGUAAGGCUCUGGAUGUCCUUUGAAGUUACCGGUUCCUUCAUGUCGAGGAUUGCUUUGAUCUUCUCAGGGAUUAGCUUCAAUGCCUCGUUGGCUAAUCAUGAAACCUAAGAAUUUGCCAGAGCCUACGCCGAAGGCACAUUUGUUGGGGUUUAACCUCAUUCGAUACCUCUUCAAAAUAGUGAAAGUUUCAGAUAGGUUGGUGAUGUGUUGGUCAGCAUGUUUGCUCUUGACUAACAUAUCAUCAACGUAAACUUCCAUGCUCUUCCCAAUCUGCUCGGCGAACAUUGAGUUGACUAGUCUCUGAUAAGUCGCUCCUGCAUUCUUUAGGCCGAAAGGCAUGACUUUAUAGCAGUAUAGUCCUCUGUCGGUAGUGAAGGCUGUGUGUUCUUGAUCCGAAGGGUUCAUGAGGAUUUGGUUGUAUCCUGAGUAAGCAUCCAUGAAGCUCAGGAGUUCACACCCGGCCGUAGAGUCUAUAAGUCUGUCAAUAAGAGGAAGAGGGAAGCUAUCUUUCGGACACCCUUUGUUUAGGUCGGUGUAGUCAACACACAUUCUCCACAAGACCUUUUGAAGCAAAAGACUUUCUUUGGUCGGAUUUUUCUUAACAAGGACCACAUUUGCUACCCAUGUCGGGUAAUUGACUUCGCGGACAAAGCCUAUGCCUUUGAGUUUUUCAACUUCUGCUUUCAUUGCCUCGUAUCGUUCAGCGUCAUAAGAUCUUCGCUUCUGUCUCACCGGCUUGAUCUUGGGGUCAAUACUCAAACGAUGACAGAUGACAUCGGGAGAGAUGCCUGGCAUGUCCUCGUAUGACCAGGCGAAGACUUCAGUGUUCUCUUUCAAAAAAGAUAUCAAUGCUAACCGAAGGGGUGGUGACAAUGUGGUGCCAAUCUUCACCAUGCGAUCUGGAUAAUCUCUUGAGAUAGGUACCUUCUCCAACUCUUCAGCAGGUUGGGCUUGCUGGGUGAAAGAGUCAUCUCGAGGAUCAUCGGGUUGAUUGUUGCUAUCAGGAAGAUCCAAGUUCGCUUCAUCUAGGCUGGUCUUUGUGACUUGGUCAUGUACAGACAGGGUUUCCUUGGGUCCGGGCAAGUGUUGUUGCUUAACUGAAGUGUUGUAACAUGAUCGUGCACUAAGCUGAUCUCCUCUGAUGUAGCCGUUGCCAUGGGGGGUUGGAAAUUUCAUCAACAGCAUAUGCGUGGAUACCAUAGCCUUGAGAUCAUUGAUGCCUGUGCGCCCAAAGAUGACAUUGUAUGCCGUUGGGCAGUCAACCACUAGGAAGUUAGUGGUAAUGGUAGCCGUGUAAGGGCCUGUACCAAUAGUAAAGGGUAAAUGUAUGCUCCCUAAGGGUUGCACGAUAUCACCGGAGAAGCUUAUCAGAGGAGAAAUCGAGCGAUCGAGCAAGUGUUCAGCUACACUGAGUGCCCUGAAAGCUUCGGCAAACAUGAUAUUGACCGAAGCCCCUGUGUCUACGAGGAUUCGUCGAACAUCAAAGUUGGCUAUGUGAGCCUCCACGAUCAAUGGGUCGUUAUGAGGGUAGAUGAUGCCUCUUUCUUCCUCAGGGUAGAAACAUAUCGGAUCCCAGUUAGGCUUUUGAUACUUCCCUCCCCUGAUGUCUUCCACGUGAAACACUUGGUGACCAGGCCUCAGAAUUCGUUCACUGUUUUUCAUGGCCCUAUUGGAAGAUUCAGAUAUGGGUGUGCCGCCGCUUAUGGAAUAUAUGACAUUCACCUGGCGUUGGUUACGGUUAUCCCUUUGAGGGUGAAGGAGGAAUUGAUCAAUUUUUCCUUCUCGUGCCAAAGCUUCAAUACGAUCACGGAGGAUGAUACAUUUCUCGCUAUCAUGGCCGUUAUGCUCAUGGUAGCAACAAAACAUGCCCGCGUUAUUCGGGGGCGUGUAAUCUGGGUGCCUCGGCUUUGGCUUUGGUAUCAGGUGAGCUAUGCUGGGGUAAAUGGCCGCGCAUGUGGCAUUCAAGGGCGUGUAUGUCUCAUACCUUGGGGUAGGGGGUAUCUUGACGCGGGUUUGACCCACUGCAUUGACUGCCUGGGGGCGAGCGUUAUUGUGGCGAUACCCUUGGUUAUCGGGAUAGUGUCCCUUACUCUUUUUACUGAAAUGAGAGUGGUGAGGAUGGAAAUCCUUCCUCUUGCCUUGAAAUUGAUAUGUCUGUUGAUUCGGCGAAGCAUUAUGCAAGGCAUGGGGAGGUGCCACUGCUGUUUGGAAAGUCGAGGUCUUCUCAUUUAGGUGAGUCUGGCUUCCACCUCCCACUUGUUGAUAAAGGAUGGUUGUAGGGGGUUUCUCCUGAUAUGUCUUUGCCUCGGCGGAGGCAUGGUUAUAAGCCUGCGCCAUCACCUCAGAGUAAGUCUUCCAAGUAUUGGCAUUGAUCAUGUAUUUAAAGAAACAAUCACGUAGGCCUGCCGUGAAGGCUUUGAGGGCAGUCUUGUCGUCUGCCUCGGCACACCGGGAGUAUUCAUGGCUGAAGCGGCCAGCAUACAUACGUAAUGACUCGUCUGGCUUCUGGCGGAUAGUGUACAGGUCAUCUGCAGAGUGCAAGCGAUCGGUUUGGAAAAUGUGUUGGGAAACAAAUAGUUUCCUCAAUUCCUCAAAUGAGUCUACCGUCUCAGGUGUAAGACGACAAUACCAAUUUAGAGCUCCGCCAGAGAGGGUGGAGGGGAAGAGAAGACAUCGCUCUUCGUCGGUGUGCAUCCGGUAUGCCAUGGUGGACUCAAAGAGGUUAAGGUGCUCAAUCGGGUCCUCUUUUCCAGUAUAAAGUUGCAAGCCAAGCUUUUGCUUUGUCUUUGCUUGAAGGGGGGUGUUGAGGAUCCUCCUUGUAAGAGGGCCAGGCCUGGGUUGGUUCCAGUCAGGUAUUUCAGCCUGACGUUCAGCCUUCAACUUGUUUACUUCCUCAAGAAGUUGUAGGACAAGGGGGUCCUGAGCGGAGUUAUGUGUCCACUGGAGCUUUCUUUCGUAAAUCUCCAUCUCCUCUUGGAAUUAGGAAGGUUUGAUCAAGGGCAUGUGAUUUUUCCCUGGACUCGUUGUACUGGCUUCCAGGGUAUGUCUGUCGGAACACCUCUGAGUCCCCUGUACCCUCAUGUCUCUCUAGGACUUGUUGCCCCUUCCCCAAAUUGGUGGCCGGCUCGGGCCGUGGCAGGGGACCGAGUCUCUCAGAAAUCCUUGGGUCAUUGAUCUUUGAGCUUAUAUGGAUGGAAUUCUCUCGACGUUGCUUCAGGAAAUCCCGACAAUCGCGAAAGACGGCUUUCGAUCCUUCUGCCCCUUCAGCAAAGAGGUGUCUCCCUCCACUUCUCAUGGUUCGGGUCGAAGCAACUGGGUUAAGAGAAGCCUCAUGUUGAUUAUCAAGUCGAGGGGUAAUCUGUUCCCUAUCAGGGAUAUCUAUGUCGAAUGCAUGUGACCCUCCAUGUUGGAGGGCACCCAGUUGAUGGUUGACUUCCACGGGGGCAACAAGCUCGCGUGUCUGAGCUUGCCUAGCUUCGUGGAGUGUCUCGAAGAGCUUCUCAUAUUGCUCCUGGAGGACCUCAUUCCUCAUUGCUAUCUUGUUGUUCUGAGCUUCCAACUCAUCGACUUUAGCUUGAAGAAGAACUCGUUUUCCUUCCUUCUUUCGUUGCUUUCGCACUAUGUGCAAGGGGGGUGUCAUUCUGUGUGCUGUGGCUUCCUUCGCUUCCCAUGUUGGAGAGGGAUGCCUGGUCAAAAGAAAGUGUACGAAUGAUAGAAACCAGCUUGACACAGCUGAAGAGAGUAGGAAUAAGUGUCGUUUCCCACAGACGGCGCCAAAUGUUGAUGCACAAAAUCAGCGAAGACUUUGGUACAACAGAAAGUGUCAGGUUUUGUGACCUUCGCUUGGUUGCUUCCGUCACUAGUGAGGAUAAGUACGUAAAUGAAUAGAGACAGAGAAGCAAACACAGGAUGUACGUGGUUCACCCAGAUUGGCUACGUCCACGGAGUAGAGGAGUUCUUAUUAGUAGUGAAGGGCUUACACAAGUACAAAGGAUCAAGCUCUCAAUUUAGUGAGUUCUUGUGAAUGAUUUAACACAAAAUGGCAUUAGGCAAUAUUGUGGGGGAAUGACCCCUAUUUAUAGAAAAACUUGUAGCUUUGUCACAUUGACAUGUGUCAUGUUAUGAUUGGUUCUUGAUGUCGACACGUGCUGCGCUCUGAUUGGCUUCUAAUCUUGACACGUGUCAAGUAGUGAUUGGCCUCCUGGUCGGAGGGGAACUCUUCUGGGUCCUUGACAGUAUAGCGUUGGCCGGUGCUCGGUAGUUUCGGGAUUGGUCAAGUAUGGUACAAACAAGCUGCAUAUUCAGUUUUUCGGAAACUAGCAAACUAAUUAGGUAGGGGAAUGUUAUAACGUCUAUUAUGGGGGAAUACAUCUCCUAGCAAUCAAUCCUUGGGCGCUGAGAGAAUGUAAUAGCCCACAUCGCCCAAGGGUGAGGAUCUUGUAAGCCUUAUAUGUAUAUUCUCAUCUCUACCUAGCACGAGGCAUUUUGAAAGCAAUACCAGGAUGGGCGACCCACUGAGAAGUUCUCGUGUGAUUUCCCAGAAACAAAACCGUGAGGGCGUGGUCAGGGCCCAAAGCGGACAAUAUCGUGCUACGGUGGAAUCGAGCCCGGGAUGUGGUCGGGGCCCGAGGGUUACCCAUCCUGGGAUUGCUCUCGCGCGAACCGCUUAACUUCGGAGUUCCGAUGGAACCCGAAGACAGUGAGUAGCGCGAGAGAGCAAUCCCAUGAUGGGUGACCCAUUGGGAAGUUCUGAUCACGUGAGUUCCCAAAAACAAAACUGUGAGGGAGUGGUCAGGGUCCAAAGCGGACAAUAUCGUGCUAUGACGGAGUCGAGCCCGAGUUAGGAUGUGACAGAGAAGCCUUGCGCUAUAAGGCGUGCUUUGUAUCGCACUAUUUCAUUCUUCUCAUUACGCUUCCUCACGAAAACCCACUUGUAGCCAAUGGGCUUCAUGCGUGGUGGUGUAGGAACGAUAAGUUUGACCUGGAUUGCUUGUUUCCAGGUUCUACGUUGGCAUUCAUCGACGGAACGUGGUUCAAUGUUUUCCUUUUUAGUCAUUAAAACCCACAAAACAAAAGAAAUAAUAUCAUUUUUAAAUAUCUGAAAGAAAUAAAAGUCACUAUAUACGUUGCCCAAUUGAUCUGUAUCGAAGAUACUCAACAAUGCAAUUAAUCAGAGAACAUGAUUUUAAGCCAGUAAUUACUAUAUCAUUAUUAUUUGAAAUUGAUUUUUGUUGUUGGCUUAAUUUACUAAAUCUUUAUAAAGGAUGGAGAGAAAGAGUGUGGAGGCAAUAGAGAGAAGAGAGAGAUGUGUAAUUGUGAGAUGUGUGUUAUGACACCUAUUGUGCCUUUAUUUAUAGUAGUAGGAAAGGUAAAUUCCUUACCCUAAUAGGAUUACAACACUAAUAUGAUAAUGUAUAGUCUAAGAGAUAUCCAAGAUAUGAUAGGAUUUACAUAAUGACUUUCAUAAUCUAAUAGGACUGCAACAAUUUUCAUUUUUUGGGUCAUUUUUGGGUCAUCCUUUUGAUUAUGGUGCAGUGUUUCUUUUCUUUAUAUUUUUCUUAUAACAAAAAAGGGACUCCUUUUUGCCCUCCAAUUUAAUUGUUAUUCAUUAUAAACGUAGUUUACAUUCCAAGUUAAUGUGACAUAUGUUAAUCUCUCACUUUUCCAUUUUUUUUCCAGUGUUCUAAAAAACGGCCUAGGCGGCCGCCUAGGCGCUGGGCGCCUAGCAACCGAGUUGUUUUUGGGCAAAUCGGGAGGAAAAAUCGGGUUGGGCCUAGGCGGGCUAGGCGGCGCCUAGGCGGGCUGGGCGGCUAGGCGGGUUAGGUGGGCUAGGCGGCCCUAGGCGGUCCUAGGCGGUCCUAGGUGGCCCUAGGCGGUCCUAGGAGGUUUUUUUUAUUUUUUAUUUUUUAUUAAUUGCGUGCUUUUUUCUUUUUUGGUUUCAUGGUGGUAUACUUAUGGAAAUGGUGUAUCUAAUUUGCAAAUGAUGAAUUUACUACAAGUUCAUCCAAUACUUAUGGAAAUAGUGUACCUAAUUUGCAUUUUAUCAUUAUUUUAUUAUCCAUACAAGUAUAGUUUUUUUUAGGUGUCAAUAUGCACUUAUUUACAAGAUAUACAAAAAUUUACCUAAAUCCGCCUAGGCCGCCUAGGCGCUAGCCCGCCGCCCGACUAGCGCCUAGCGUUUUUUAGAACCUUGUUUUUUUCUCAAGAUAAACACGAAACUAACGAUGAGCAUGUAUUACCUUAAUUGCCUCCUCCUAGUGCUCACCGCCUUGUUGUAUCUUUCCGUUGCUGCCACCUCGUAUGGAGUAGGAGGAUGAGAAGAGCACAAUUACCCUCCCAAGAACCGUUCUCUAAGGGGUGGGUACUUCUCUAUUGACAACUUGAGCGACCCACAUUUGAGGGAGAUCGUGGAGCUUGUUAUCUCCAUGUACAAUAAGAUUUAUGACAAAACACUGGUGUUGCAAAAGUUAGUUCGGGGACAUUUCUAAAUAGUGGAGGGAACCAAUUUCAAGCUUGUCAUUGCGGUUGUCAAUUCUUCUUCGAUCUAUGGUGGCCCCAUCAACUAUGAUGGCGUGUUUACCAAUUGGGAGUGGAAUGGAGAGAAAUGGAAUUGAAUUCCUCCCCAAGCAUUCUGCAGUUUACUAGCAACUGGGGAAUCAGAUUUUAUGUGGGGUCCAGCCAAUUUCAGGAUUUCAAUUUCGGAUUUCUCUGGAUUUGGAUUCCCUCUAUAGAGGUGGUAAUUGAAUUCUGGGUAGAGAGCUCCAUCACGAAUCAAAAUUUUCUACCCAAAAUACCCAUGUAUAUUCCUAAAACAACUUCUACCUUCAUCAAUCACUCUCCUCUGUAUUUGUUUCUCUCACAACUCAUACCACCCCUUUGUAAUCUGAAACGCAGUAACACAGAAUGACGAACGCCUGCGAUUUGGAACAACGAUCGACCGGGGUUUGAAACGACGACACAACGACGAACAUGAUCUGGAACAACGAACGCCCAAAUUCUCAAGGAAAUUGCGAUUUGUAGACUCAAACAAAAGAGAAGGAAAGAACUUUUAUCACUUUCACCCCUGAAAAUUGGAUUUUUUUUGUUGAUGGGAUGGGUCGUGGCUUCGUAGUUCCUCCUGAGAUUGGAUAGUGGGGUGUGGAUACUGCGUACUGGUGAAAGAAAAGGGCAAGAAAGGGGAAAGAAAAAGAAUGGGGAAAGAAAGGGGAAAGGGUUGCAGAAAAAGAAUGCGGAAAGAAAGGGAGAAGAGAGAAGGAAGUAAAAUGUUAUUUAGUUUACUUUAUGUAGGUAUUUCUAAUAGGAUUUAGGGUGAUUAAGGGUUAGAAGCAAAUAAAAAUUGAUUCUUUCAUAUCAAAUUUGAAGUAAUCUAUGCAAUUAGGAAAAUUUAAAAGUUAUAUAAAAGAAAAAAAAUUAUUCUCUUUAGUAAAAAAUUAAAAAAAAAAUAAAAGAAUAAAAGUUUUACUAAAAAUAAUUAGCAUAUAAAAUAAAUUAGUUAAAAUAGGGGCACUUUAGUAAUCACAUUAAUUAUCAUUCCGAUUCAUGUGAAUUAGUAAAUAGUUUGUAUACAUCAAUGUCAUUCCUACUCCGAUUCUAGACAAUUUUGGUAAACAAAUUCAACAGGAAUCUAAUUCUGAUUCCACCUCAUUCCAAUUCCUCCUCAAUCCAAUUCCUCUUAAUCUGAUUACGGAUUAGUAAACGUGCCCUGAGAUCAUUGUGUUCGAGAAUCUUUGGAAGACUAUUAGUAUUAAGGAACUGGAGUCCUUUGUUCGAAUUCAAACUAAUAAAAAUUAAAUCCCGUCCAUCUUAUUCAUGGUCUUUGGGGUCGUUUCUCACUUCUUUCUUAUAUGAUUUGGAGCAUAAGAAAUUAAGCAUCUGCUAAUAAUAUACAAGUUACUUUUACAUAACAUGUCAUAAGUUCGAUUUCUGACGUUGGUGAAUCACAAAAUGGUGGCCAGAGAAAGCCUGAAAUGCUUACAUAACUCUUUCCAGUUAAAAAAAAGAUGGAUUACUGUCAAAGCGACGAACUGAUCCUUUUUUUUUUUCUAAUAAUAAAAAAAACAACUCAAUUCAUCACUUUUCUCGACUUCUCCUUGAACCACUUUUUUAUAUUUUUUAUUUUUUAUCCAUAACAAACAAUAUUCUAUUUUUGUGAAAUAACCAACAAAUGAUAUAGAAAAGGGAGAAAUUAAAUUAAUCAACAAACACGAAUAUAAAAAGUAAUUUCAUUUUUUAUAAAGAUGUCUCCACACACAAAAAAAAGUGGGACUAAUCACCAUUCUGAGUAGAGUGGAACGGCUUGACUCUGCUACGUAGUGCCCUCAUAAAAAUUCCGUCAAAUAUAAAAAACGACACGUAGCUUUCUUUUUGUUCAGGGUGUUUUUAUCCAUAUAAUUUGGCGAAGCCUGUGACGGCGAAAAGAGGAGGAGGGACUGGAUUUUACAGUCGUAGACAACAUCAACUUCUUCUUCUUCCCCGGGUCGCCGCCGUACGUAAAGCACGACUCUCUCCUUAUAACUCGCCCCGCAGCCGUGACCUCUGCCGGGUAAGAGAUUUAUUGCCUCUUCUAUUUUUAAUUCCGCGUCGUUCUCUAAUUUAGGAAUUUGCGUAUUGAGGAUUUAGGGAUGUUGCCAUUACAAACAGAUGAAUUCGAAAAUUUCCAACUUGUUCAGUGAAUGGUUUUCAGCGAUUUUUCUCUGCUUGUUAAUUUUCAACUGUAAUCAAUUUGUAAUAGCUUCUGAAAAGUGAAAACAAAGUGAGAUUAGUAUUCACUGAAGAUUCAAAUGGACAACGAAACGAUGGAGUUCUGUCUCUGAAUAACUUCUUGCUCAGUGUAAAGUCUGUUGAUCGUUGAUGCUUUUGUUCUAACGAAAAGCGGGUGACCGGAAAAACCAAACAAUUAAAUGUGCAGAUUAAGGAAUUAACAGGUUCCAUAAAAUUGGGGAAAUCUCAUAUUAACAAAGGGCACCGUAUAAUUUUUAACCGAGGAAAAUUGGCUUAGAAUUUCAUCCCGCCACAUUUUCCAUUCCUGGGUCUCUGCCUGUUCUACAUUCUAACAUGCAGUUCCAAAUGUCACUGCUGGUUUAAUUUCUUUAGACGAUACUUUUCAUUUUUGCUGCUGCAGAAUAUUUUCGAAAUCAUUUUAAUUGAGCUUUUGGGAAGGCUUUGUUUGACAGAGCGGAAAGCGGACUGUUUGUCGUUGGCUUCAGUGUCAGCACUCUGGUUGAAGUCUUUAACAUGGUUAGCCUUAUUUUAAUCACAGUUAUAAUUUUGAUUGUUAUUUGUCUUCUCUGUCAAGUAUGGUUAAAUUUUCUUUCUGUUUUUAUUCUCAGGAAGUGUUCAGGACGGCCAUUUUGCAGCCUGGCCCACCUGAAAGGUUUGCCCUUCAGACAGUUCAACAAGUUAUACAACCUCAGGUAACAACCAUAGAUCCUUCAUGGUCAGGGUUCUUCUUAUUUAUAUUUUUUGCUUCCCAAAGAUUAAGUCCUGUGUAAAUGCAUGCUUAGCUAUUUAUGGCUUUGCUUCUCAAGACUGAAAUACAGUUGUGAUUUCAUUCUCUUUCUGUUUGCUACAUAUGGAUACACUUUUUUUGCUACCUUUGUCCUAUAAAGACUCCAAUUUCUAAUUUUCCAAUGAGUCCUUUACUUGAUUCUAGGCUUUAUCCUUGGUGUUCAGGGGAGCAUUGCUUUCUUCACAUAUAUCCUGAUUGUACAUUAAUCACAUAUUUAAAUCUUUAUUUUUUCCGAAUUUUGUUGUUUGGUCAAUAAAAAUUGGGCCAAUUGAUUUCAUUUCAUCAUGACAGAAACAAACAAAGUUAGUCCAAGAUGAGAAUCAAUUGUUAGAAAAUAUCCUUCGGACAUUGCUUCAGGAACUGGUGGUAUGUUUCUCUUUCUUGUAUUUGUGAACAGAAUAUUUUGAUUAUUUGAUUAUACUUCUGAAGUUUACUGCAUUUCUAGUUUUUUCUGCAUAUGUUAGCAUGGUGGUCAUCCACAGGAAAUUAAUGUUUGUGAUACGCUAAAAAAAGGCCUUAUGCUUAUUUGACGUCACAGUCAUGUAUUCUAUCUAAAUCUGAAGUAAAGUAGACCUUGUUAUAUACUUGAUUCCCCAUCAACCUGAACCCUCUUUACAUAUUUGACAUCAAUACAUAAUUCUCUCUCUUAUGCAUUUGGUUUUAUUUGUAAUUUUAUGUCACGUAACUUGAGAUUCUCACAGUCUUCUGCAGUACAGUCUGGGGAGCAGAUAAUGCAGUAUGGUCAAUCAAUUGAUGCUGGAGAAACUGCCCAAGGACAUAUUCCACGUCUUCUUGGUCUGUACAUGUUUCUGUUAAACUAUUGCAAGCACUUAGUUGUACGUAUCUAAUGUUCUUGACUUGCUUUUUAGAAGAAGCUUAUACACUUUCUAAUAUAAAAAUUCCUACGUGUUGUGUUGGUAUUUUGAUAUGUUUCUUGUGGUGCACUCAGCAUAAAUCUUUAAACUCUGAGAAUAAUUUAUACAUUGAUGUUUUUCUGAAAAGAAUUCGUAUUGCUAUUAAUUUUUGUGGUUUAUCUUUUGACAUUUAAAUCGCACCUAACUACUUUUUGACAAAAUUCAGAAUUGACUUCUCAAUUGUAGACCUGUAUAUCCUCUAAUGUAAACAAUAAGCUUUUUUAGGUCAGUUCUUUGCCUUACAAGAGCUACUCUAUGGAAAAUGGCUUGUUAUAUUGGUUUUAGUGAAGAAGAAAAUUGACGAGUCUUAUAGAAUGCAUCUCUCUCUUGCUCUAUCUCCACAUAUAUACUACUCUCUUCCUCUGCCUUAUACAGCUCCUUUUAUCUUCUGAUGCACCAGACGUUGUGUUGUAUCUUUGUGAGAAAGAGCAUGUCGAAGGUGGCAUGAUCUUUCAGCUGUUGGAAGACUUAACAGAAAUGUCAACUAUGAGAAAUUGCAAAGACGUUUUCGGUUAUAUUGAGAGUAAACAAGAUAUAUUAGGAAAGGUUUGUGCUUUUUAUAUGUCAAUGGAUUAUUUUUCCUUGUUUUGUUUUUUUAUUGUAAGUUUCCCAUUUUCCUUCUCUUUUACAUCCUGCUGUACUUUAUAUGGUUCUCCUCAUGCAGCCUGAGCUUUUUGCGCGAGGAAAACUUGUGAUGUUGAGAACAUGCAAUCAACUUCUUCGUCGUCUGUCAAAGGUGGUGUUACUAAUCAUAGUAGUCAUCAUUGCUUUUACAGCCAACUUUCAUUUUUGAAACUUUCCCCUCUAUUGUGAUAUUUGUUUGUAUUUCAAACACCAAAAAUUGGUAUGCCAUUCAGAAGUCACAUUUAAAGCUGGUUGUAUAAUGUUUAUAGAAAAUAACAGGUGCUCAGGUUAAUAUGUGUUGUACUUGUAAUUAUGUAAUGGUGGUUACAUAUUUGACAUCAUAGACUUGAGGAUGGGGCAUUGUAUAUUUGUGCUAGGGAGGUUCUCAUGUGUUUCUCACAUUGCUCCAUUGUGUUCCUCACAUUGCUUCACUGUGAUAAACAAAAUUUAAAAUGCGGUAUGCAAUCAUAUUGAUAUUGUUUUUCUCUCUUUUGAUUUAUGAACUAAUUUUUUGUUUUUUGAAAUUAAGUGUUUUAGCUAUUGUUGUACCACUUCAAGAAGUCCUUAUUUGAUGAAACUAUAUCCACUUCGAUGAUUAAAUUUUUCUUGAAAAACUUAUUGUUAUAGUCAUGUUGUGUACUAAUUUCUUUGAACCUGACUCAUAGGCAAAUGAUGUGGUAUUUUGUGGACGAAUUCUAAUGUUUUUGGCACACUUUUUCCCAUUAUCUGAGCGUUCAGGUACCUGUUUGUCUUCAACCCUUGUCUUCACUUGUAAUUUAAUUGCUCUCGACCCUGGUGUUCAGUUGGACUAUAUAUUCAUGUUGCUCUUAUGGUUACUGUGUGCAGCUGUUAAUAUAAAAGGAGUUUUUAACACAUCAAAUGAGACAAAAUAUGAGAAAGACCCCCCUGAUGGUACAUCCUUGCUAAUGACAGUUGCUUGAUUUCUCAAUGUUGAUGUCAACAUAUUAUUACACAUAUAUCUGUAUAUAUAUCUAGUGUGUAUAACUUUUUGGUGAGUAUAGAUCUCUUAAGCAUAUAUGUUAUCCGUUUUAUAAUUUUCAGGAAUUUCCAUCGAUUUCAACUUUUACAAAACCUUUUGGAGUUUACAGGUAAACUAUGCAACUUGGAAGCAAUACGGAGCUAGGCUUUUUAGUUAUGGUUUCCUCUUCUCCAUUUUGAUUUGAGUUUUGAGCUUAGGGAGUGUCUAUAUAUAAUGCUAAAAGGUUAUAUAGUUUGAAAUGUUGUUAAAUAUUCAUACUUUGUUUCUGUAAUUCUUCUUGUAAACUGAUAUCAGUGAUAUCAUUCAUUAUGCUAAAAACUUGUCUGGAUGGAUUUUCAGGAAAGCUUCUGUAACCCUCCUUCCUUAACUCUUGGUCCUACCAAGUGGAAGAAAUUUACAUCCGGUUUAAUGGUAAUAACAGUCUUCUGACAUCUUCGUUUUAUUUGUCUUUAUGGUAUGCCAGUUUCUCUUUAUUUUAUUAUUCACUCAAAUAUUCUUUUCUUGAAUGUCUUGUUAGGUUGUUUUGAAUACCUUUGAAGCUCAACCAUUAAGUGAUGAAGAGGGAGAUGCCAAUAACUUGGAGGAGGAAGCAACAAAUUUUAGCAUAAAAUAUCUUACAAGCAGUAAACUGAUGGGUUUGGAGGUUAGUAAUGCUGGAGUGUUGACUUAGAGUUUAAUUGUAGCAGACCAUUAUUUUGAUUAGGAAUCAAAUCCUUGAAUUUUGAUGUUUUCUGGUGAGCACAGUUGAAGGAUCCCAGUUUCCGACGUCACAUUCUUGUGCAGUGCCUCAUAUUGUUCGAUUAUCUGAAGGUAGAGUUGAACAGGUCUUAAUAUUGAUUUUGGGGAAAUAUCAUUUCACCUUCCUAAUCUCUGGGCUUGUUAUAAUGGCCCUUUUCAACUUUCUGAUUGAUCUAUUUUUCCCUAUAGUACUCUAAUAUGGUAAAAUUAACUCUUAUUUUCUUGUAGGCCCCGGGAAAAAGUGAAAAAGAUUUACCUUCUGAAAGCAUGGUCAGUGUUGUAGUUAUAUCUUGUUGACUUUUGUAACUUUCUUCCUUCUUCUUUUGCUUUCAUUAGAAAAGAAAACAACUUUCCUCAAGUGGUGCUAUCUUUAGAAAGAGAAUUUACCUCGGCGGUGCUGGUUAUAACAAAAGAUGUUGACAAAAAAAAAAAGGAAUAAAUUGAGAUGCCUUAGAUAUGUUAUGAUUUUGUUAGCCUUGUUUAUCUCCAAAGUUAGGAAUUUGGAACAACGGUGGAUUAGAGUACUACAAUCAAAUCUCACCUGUAACUUUAUAUCAAUGUUCUGUGCUUGUGUUCGCUUAUGAAUGCAGUAUUACUAUUAUCCCAGUCAUUUGCAUCAGUUUUGUUAUCGUUUCUUCUCAAAAAAAAAAUGCUAAUUUACUCAUGCAAUUCUAUAAGUUUAUUGUAUUCAAAAGCAACUGAUGGUCCCUGGGUAAUUGAGUUGUGCUUGGGACUUUAUCUUAUCUUUAUUAAGAUGCAAAUGGACACCGCUUACAUUUUCUUUAAGCAUGAAAAAUUAAUGAAUUUGUGUAGUAUACCUUUCAUUGUGAACUGGUGGAGAGGAUUUACUUUCAUUUGGACACAGUUAUAGCAAAAGGUUUUGUAUGAUGCUAUAAAGUCAGCUUUAGAAUAUCUGUGCAAUUUAUGAUGUCUGCUAAAGAUUUCCUUGUUGAUUUCAGAAAGAGGAAAUAAAAUCUUGUGAGGAGCGUGUCAAAAAGCUGCUUGAGAUGACUCCGCCCAAAGGGAAGGAAUUUCUUAAUAAAAUUGAGCAUAUAUUGGAACGUGAAAGGAAUUGGGUGAGUGUGUUAUCUGGCCUCAGCCAUGCUAUUCUCAGAAAAUGUUAUCGUUGUUCUUGAGCAUAAUAUGCAUUUAAUCUAUUCUUAGGUGUGGUGGAAAUGUGACGGUUGUCCCCCAUUUGAGAAGCAGCCAAUGGAGAAAAAGGUGAUCCAAGAAGGAGCCAAAAAGCGGUAUGCAAUUCAGUGGCCUGUUUGUCUGGGUCCUGCUAUUCCUUUUAAUGUGUUUUUUAAUAAGAAAAAAUUGAACAAUUUUAAUUUUUCCUUUUGUGUAAGGUCUACAUAAGAAUAACUGAAGCAGAUAGAAGUAAAUUCAUCCUUUGUUUUCUAGCCCUGCUGGGCAAUUCUACUUUAGUUAUUCAUGGCCUUGGGAGUAGGUUUAUCUUUUAUGUAUGUUUUAGAUCUCUUUAUUCUAAACAGUGAUGCAUAUUUUGACUUGUCGUUUUGAUGUUUCGAUUUUUUUUGUUUCUGAAGUUUUGGGUUACUGGUAUCGACACAGGUGUAUAUUGUUUAAACCUUUGAUGUGUAGUAUUAAAGACAUUUCUAUCAGAUCUCAACUUUAUCUCUGGAAAUACUAAAGACAUUGCUGUAGAAAACUUCUAUGGGAAUAUUAACAACUUCAGAGAUUCCAGUGAUACUACCAUUUUACAUAACAGAGCAAGAACUUGGAAAUUGGUCAAAAUUGCGGUGACAUCUUUGGAAAUAUUAAAGACAUUCCACUGGUCCUCAAUGAUAUUGUACGAAGGAAUAAGAUUUACACAUUUUUUUGGCAGAACCCUGCCACCCAUAUGCUGCCCUGAUACCAGCUGAAACUUCUGUACUCACUUUCACUAAGAAAAAAGGAAACAAAACUAGACUGUUUUUGAGAUGAGGUCUUCUGACCAAGUGCAGAUGUUUUGCCUUGUGGUGGAGAUUGUUUCCUCUUACUUGAAUAUACGAAAUGAUUUGGUUUGAGAGAAAGACAACCCUACCCUCAUAAUGGUAUUUAGGAUAUUUUAAAAUAAGCUACAAUCUAUGCAGAAAAAUAAACAAAUUCACAUGCUAGAUGAACUCAUGGAUUUUUGCUGGUAUAUAUACCCAUGCCUACAAAUUAAAAUUUUUGAAUUGUUCACCAACUUUUAUCAGCCUUCUGUUUGUUGUGACCUGUGAAGAUAUUUAAUAAAUUUGCAGUGCUCAUUAUAAUGAACUUUUUGGUUUUUUUUUUGUCCUAAAUUCAACAGUAGGCCGAGAUGGAGAAUGGGAAAUAAAGAACUAUCUCAGUUGUGGAAGUGGGCAGAUCAGAAUCCGGUAUGCUAGAUUGCUAUUUAUGACAAGAUUGUUGAAAUAAAUCUGGCUUCAAACAUGACAUUCACAAGGUUUUGAAUAUAUGCAAUUAUUUUUUGCAACCUCCAAUGUUUCACAAGCUUCGCUGAUUCUAUAAUUAAAUAUUGAGAAAAAGUUUGAUUUAUUUUCAAGAGUGGCGGUGAUCAUCACGAGGAAAUGUACACCCCCACACUCACACGGUAUAUAUAAAUAAUUAUAUUAUCAGCUGUUAACAGAAAAAAGUUAAUAGCAUCUUGCUGAUUCUUCAUGGUUCAUACCUACUGUCCUUUCUGAAUUAGUACUUAUAUACUCAUAGAAUAUCAGUUCAGUUCUUACUAUAAAGAAGACAAAGAUUACAGAUCAAGUUGUUGAGGAAGAAACAUGUAAAUAUGUAGCAAUAUGUUCCUUUCAGUAUUGUUGACCACAAAAUUAAUUUGAAAAUUUUGGUGUUAUAUUGUUUAAUAGUUAUUUUUUCCUUGUCUAGAAUGCUUUAACCGAUCCUCAACGUGUUCGAACACCUUCCAUCACUGGGUACUGGAAGCCCUUGGUUGAAGAUGUAAGUACUAUAUACUUCUGAAUGUCCAAACUAGCAUGUUGUGUGUGUGUACUCGCGCUCACUCUUGUCCCUUCUCAUGCUAUGGAUUUUUUAUGUUCUCAGUAACUGUUUAGUAAGAUGAAUUUCUUUGAGUUACAGAUGGAUCCAGCAGCUGGAAUAGAACCUGAGUAUCACCACAAAAAUAACCGAGUGAGUUUUCUUCUGGAAUUUUUGGUCAAAAUCAGAAGACAAUCAUACAGAUAAAAGUUGGGUUGCAUUUUGACUAGGGUUCAUUGUUAAUAUAGAGUGCUAUUUUAUUUAAUAUCUGUUCAACUGUUUCACCAUGUGAUUCAAUGUGCAUUACCUCUUGCUUUUGAAUAUUAGAAUUGUUGAAACUCAAACUAGUGUUCCACUUAAAAUUUGAUUUUGUUUUAUCCAAUAGUAAAAUUUCAACAUGCAGGUUUAUUGCUGGAAAGGUCUUCGAUUUUCAGCUAGACAAGACUUGGAAGGAUUUUCUCGAGUAUGAAUAUAACUAUGUUUGCAUAGUUAAUGUAUUAUUUCAUUUUUCACUGAGCUUUACACCACUUGUGUGGAUGUCAUUGCAGUUUACUGAACAUGGUAUUGAAGGAGUUGUACCGCUGGAACUUUUGUCUCCUGAGGAGCGGUCUAAAUACCAAGCUAAACCAAAUGACAGGUCUAAACGUGCUAAAAAGGAAGAAUCAAAAGGUGCUGCACAUCAAUUAGAAGAAAGUCAGGUAUAUAAUCGGCAGUGUGUUGAAUUUCUAGUGUUUUAUUGUUGACGUCUUUGAUUCCUGUAGAAAGUUGAAUAUGCAAAUGAGGAAAUAAUAUGAAUAAUGUGUAUGUGUUUGUGUGUGCGUGUAUAUUGCCGAUGAGAUUUAGAAAGAAACAUCUUUAUUAUUUAGACAUAACGUUACAUGGCUGCAUAACACUUGAUCUGUGCAAUGCAUCUUCAGCCUAAAGAUUGAAAAAAUGAGAUGAAAAAUGUUAUAAACUUUUGCCCCUUUAUUGUUGUAUAUUUCGUGUUCUUUUUUGUCUUGGGGUAUAGGUUGUUUUCAAAUUUGAGAUCAAGUAAAUGCAUGUGUACGUAUAUGGAAGUAUCAGCAUUACUUGUACCCCAAGAAUUUUGACAAUAUUUUUUUCCCUGAAGAAUGCUACACCUGCAAGUGAAUUAGACGGUGAAGCCUCAGGGACGCCAAUGGACACUGAUACCAUUGCUGCAGCCGGCAACAUGUCCCAAGGUGGAAGUCCAAUCCCUGAUGAACAUCAGAAGCAAAGCUCCGAUGCGGAUGUGGGUCAAGAGGGAGGUCAGUUGGAAGCAGAUGCCGAGGUCGAGGUUGAGGCAGGGAUGCUUGAUGGUGAGGACGCGGAGGCUGAUUUGGAUCCAGUUGGUUAGCCCGUUCAAAGUUGGGAGUUUGCAUAUGUAAGAAUGAAUAUUUGAUUGAAAGUAGAUGACAUGUUUGGAAAUCCUAGAUUAGCAACAAAAAUUCCGACUAAUUUUUGUAAUGAGAUUGUAUGUUCGCCGGCCAAUGAAUGAACCACUCGAGGUUCCGUUUCUUCCGUUAAAGGGGAUUCAUGGAAAAAAUGGAAUAUAAAGACGUGUUCCAAGAACAUCAUUGAUACGUUGCUUGCGAGUCCCUUGGGCGGUCGCAGUCAGCCAUGGGAAAAGUAAGCAAAUGAAGGCAAAUUAAAUGCCAUUCGGGUUGUUUGAUCUUCAAGCUACUUCCUACCGGGUUACAUAUCACACAAGGAUGCAUGUCUGCCACAAAUUUGACCUACAAAUCAAACCCCCCGUGACCUUUGUUCAUUAAAUGAUCUCUUCACGAGAUAUUUCUUUUCACUUGUAAGUGAGACGUCUUAGAUUUGAAUCUCGUAGAUGAUGAAUUCGAUACCAAAUUAAGUUACCCAUUAUGUGAUUUAACCGAACUUAUUUCUCUUUAGUGUAAAAUAUAUCGUUGUAUUCAAACAAAAAAAAUUAAUGAAAUGCAUAGCGAAGCUUGCGUAUUAUUUACACAAGUAUCAUUAGAUUCAACCCUACUACUUAUCAAUUACAAAUGAAGGAGAGAAAUAUCAACAAACAAUAGUAUUUAGUAACAAAGUUGUUAACAAGUUUAAGAAGAAAGCAACAAUAUCAAAGUGUCAAAGAUUUGUAACUCAGCUGAUUAAGAAUAUUUUUGUACCGACUUUUGAAUUAGUUUUUUUUACUGGUAUUUAUUAAUUGUGCAGUAAAAGUAAGACAAACAAAACUCGAGAUCUUGAACAUAAAAAAAAAAAAGGUUCGAUCGAAAAAAAUAAAAAAAAGGAGUAGGAAUCCGAGUGAGAAGAAACACACACUCUGACACCCACGACAAAACACAAAAUUCCUUCCUUUCUUCCAAAUUUCCAAUUCCAUUUUACAUUUUACAUUUUACAAAUUUACCGCACAAAAUCUAAAACCCUUUUCCCUUUCGGAUUUUCUUUCACCCAAAGCUUCACUCCACACCACCAGAUUCGUUGAUACCCCUCCGUCUGCUUUCUGUUUGUUUCCCGAGAAAGUUUUUCCAUGUUCAAUUUUUUAUUGUUCAGAUUUGGAUUAACUAAUGGCCCCUGCUUCCGAGGUUCGUUGACUUAACUUACGAUUUUCUCAAUCUUUGAUCUUUGAUAAUCUGGUGGUACAAUAGUUCAGAUCGUUUGAUUCGAAAUUUGACAUAUUUUUUUUUAUAUUAUUGAUUCAUUGUUUUAGCUCAAAAGGGUUGUCUUUGUUUUCUUGGUUAAUUGAAUUAUGAUUGUUGAUUGUUGAUUUUUGAGUAGGAAAAUCAUGGAGUUGAAAUUGGAUUUGGAAUGUGAUGUUUGAUUGGGGAAAGUGGAAUUCUUGUUGUGUGCUUGAUGAGCCAAGAUGCUGUUCAAAUCUAAGAUAAAAUGGGUUGCUCUCUUUGUCCUCAUUUUAUCUUUUGCAUCAUUGCUUCGGCACAUCUCUAUAGCAAGAUUUUCGACUGUCGAUUUAGUCCAGUAUAGCGCAUUGACCGCAUUCCAUAACGAUUUCGAUUCUAUCUCUGGGAGGCAGGUGAGAUUUUGAGUCAUUUCUCUGCCCAUCAUGCGUCUAUUUCGAGUGUAUGUUCUUGGUUGUCUUGAUGGGCUUCUUUUGUUUUUUACAAUCAUGCAGAGUGUUCCUAAUAAGAAGCUAUGGGGGCCUGUGAAGACCCUGCAGUCUUUUCAGCCUUAUGCCAACCCCCGAGGCAACUAUCCUGGUGAUCAUCUUGCUCUGUUUCUUGCAUUUGUGUAUUUUCUUAGUUUGUUCGUUUCUAGGUUUAUCAUAUUCUUGCAUGGUAUAGUUUAUGAAUUUGACAAUUUGAACCCAUUGGUGAAUCCAUUCCCUCGCAUGCAUGACCAUCUCGAAGCUAAUGGUAACUGUUAUCUUUGUUAUACUGAAUUUGAAUUGAGUUCCCUCAUUCUAUGUUCUUUUUUGUCACUGGAGGAUUUGAUAACCUUGAACCAUUCAUAUUUUAGUUGAUUGAAUACUUUUAUCUUUUUACAGUUCCAAAUGAACAGAGCAAUGGCUUCAUUUAUGCAAAAAUAUUUGGAGGAUUUGGAAAGAUAAGAUCUACGGUAAGAUUUGUCAAAUAUGUGAAAGUGAUUCUGUGAUAAUUUGUAUGUGGUGUUCAUAAAUCUUUGUUAAUUUUCUAGAUCUGUGAUCUGGUCACCAUAUCCAGGCUUUUAAAUGCUACUCUUGUCAUUCCAGACAUUCAAGAAAGUACUCGCUCAAAAGGCAUCAGGUUCUUUUUUAGUUUGCUACUUCUUUUAUGCCAGUUUGCUGCGAUCAUAUGAUUCAUUGCUUCUUAUCUCUUUUGUUUUUUAUGACUUUGCCAGCUCUCAUUUCAAGAGUUUUACAUAUCUCUACGAUGAGGUGCACUUUAUAGCAUCUCUAAAAAACGACAUAGUCAUUGUGAAGAGUCUGCCAGAUAAUCUGAAGGCAGCAAGGAAAAGAAAUGAAUUCCCUUCUUUUAGACCCAAGAAUUCAGCUUCUCCAAAUUUUUAUAUCAAAGAAGUCCUACCAAAGUUAAAGAAAACCAAAGUUAUCGGCUUGAUCAUUGCUGAUGGUGGAUGUCUGCGGGUAGCUGAUUUUCUACUAGUUUAAUAGUAUAGCCUAUUUCAAAAUGUCAUCUGCUUGAGAAAAUAUGCAUAUUCUGUUAACAUUUAUAACCACAUAUUGUCAUACUCUUUUUUGCACUAGAACUGUCACCUAUGAACCAUUGUCUAUGAAAAUAAAUAAAUGUUAUCUAAGAACCACUUAAACAUUCAUUCUCUGUCGCUUUCCUAUUGGUUGAUAGGGAUCAUUCAUUCGUAUAUGAUUAUGUUAGUAGUGAGUCUGUUUUGUUUCUUUUCACUUAGUGAUUUCUGUGUUACAAGCAUGCAUGCUUGACAAUUAAGUUUAAGUGUUGAUGCAAUAUAAUCCUAUUUUCAGUCAAUCCUUCCACCAAACAUGGCCGAGUUUCAAAGACUUAGAUGCAGGGUUGCCUUCCAUGCACUUCAAUUCAGGCCAGAAAUUCAAAUGCUUGGACACAAGAUGGUGGAGAGGUAUGAAUCUAGCAACGCACCUUUUUUCCUGAAGAUUUGAACCGAUAGAGUGAUAUUGGUGUUUAGAGAACUUGAUUAGUAUAGACUGCUCUUAGACCAUCUGAUGCAAGAUGUUUUUAAUUAAAUAGAUUUUAUUUGAAGGUUACGGUUGAGUUGGAAAGAUUAGGUAAUAGAUAGAGUUAACUGGAGGGAUAGAGUUAACCAGAAGGAUGGAGUCAACAGGAGGGGUCGAGUUAUGGAGUAAGGAAAUUUUAUCUUUGAAAGUCUUAGGUCUGGCUUUCUACAAAUUGGAUGGAAGUUUGUAUAAGGAAAAUGGAAACUAUAAGCCUAAUGGAUAUGCCUAGGUUUUCCAAGCAGUCAAAGUGAACACAUCCUCUUAAAGAGGUUCAAAGGCCACGUGAAGUUUCCUAUAAUAUCCGCUAGUGUGGUCAUAUUCUUCUAGGAAGGGGUGAGGUUUUGGUUUUUGCUUGGGGAUUGAUUCUAUCUCAUCAGAGUUUAGGGAUUAUUACUUUCGUAUAUAUUACUAGAUUAGAAGGCAGUUAUGUGAUUAUUUUGUGUCAUAGCUUUUAUUUAUGUAGCUUCUGUAGAUGAUGGAUCUUUAUUAGUUUCCUUUUUUUUUUUUUUUUUUUUUGAGAAGAAACGAUAACACUUUAUUAAAAUAAAAACAAGAAUUAAAAAAUAGUGCAUAAGAAAUCCACCAUAUAGCAAAGCUAGCUAAGACCUCUCAAAUAGAUCUGAUUACAAGUAACAAUACCUCAACCAAAAUCAUUUUACGUGGCUUCUGGUGGACCCCGUUCACUUCUUGUAAUAAUUUACUUCUAAGAACUAUUUUCCUUCAGUUGAUCAAUGUGGCUUUUAUACUCCAAUAGGUUACGUGCAUGGGGUCAACCUUUCCUAGCGUAUCAUCCUGGUUUAGUGAGAGAAACCUUGGCAUAUCAUGGCUGUGCUGAACUUUUUCAGGUAAGAUGUUUUAGCCAGUUUUAUCUUUGGUAGUUGUGAAAAUAUAAAUUGUUGAUCUACAUGCUUAGACUUUAUCAUAGUAUUAGAGUAAUAGAACCUAAGUUUGAACCACCUCCAAUUAUGAAAUUCCAAUAUUAAGUUGAGUUCCACACGUUGGUCCUUAGUGAUGGAAAGAGGUUCACAUGUGAUGGGUGUUACAACUUAACAUAAUUCUGUCCAACACAUACACACAGCUUAAACUUUCUGGUUACAAUCUUUUUCAUAUCUCUGCCUGUGAAGUCUAAGUUAGUGUUAAAACGAUUGUUCUCCUUUGUUCCUUGGUUAAAAUCUAAGUCCGAUAAAAAUUCAGUUUUGGAGUUCUCUCCCUCCUCUUGAGUACAGGUGGUUUCUACCUUAAACAACUGCAAAAUAUUAACAGCGUGUCCAUUCACUGUCAUGGUUAUCAAAGUUAUCUUGCUAACUUGCUACUUUUCUGUAGGAUGUUCACACUGAACUCAUACAAUAUCGAAGGAAACAAAUGAUUAAAAAGGGCAUUGUUCAUGAGGAACUAAGCAUAGAUUCACACUUGCGUAGAGAAAAUGGCUCAUGCCCGCUGAUGCCUGAAGAGGUAAGCUCAGUACUAAUUUGAGAUCCAGCUUAUGUAUUUGUAAAUUGUAAGUACUGUUGUGUGGCUUUUAGUCCAGCCUGAUGCUUCUUUCUCGUGGUUCAUUUUUUAUUGUUUUGAAAAUUUCACUUUUCAAUGCCAUAAGAAUGUCUAGAAGAUUAGUAGUGAACUUCAGUGCUGGUUGUGAAAUUAAGCUUCCUUGGCACUCACUCAACACUGAAUUGAUUUUAGCAGUUCAGAAAAAGCAGAACCUCAAGCAUCCUUCUAUCAAUUUCGCUUUUAAAUAUUAAAUAUUAACAUUACAAUGGGAGUGGAAUUUGUGUUUCCAAAAAUUUAUGCUCAAGUGAUAGGUUUAUUAAGUCAAGGAUGCAGACCAGAAUUGGCUUCGGUUACUAAAGAGUUUAAUAAUUGCUCUCUAUCUCAAAUACUGUGGGAUUUGUUAGCAGCAGUUAAGUGAGCUAGGUCUAGAAUUGGCUGAUGUAGCCAAAUCCUAUUGGGAUUUUCCUUUCUAAUUUGUUGGUGGACUUCUUAUCCACUUCUGUGUAUUUCUCUAUUCUUUAAUAAAAUUGUUUCUUCUCAAAAAAAAAAAAGGAUGCAGACCAGAAAAAACAGUAGAGGAUGGAAUGACGCUGAGAAUUUAGUUAAUCCAACACCAUCUAAUUCAUAAAAAUAACUUUCGUAUUUUAAUUACUUGAAAAUUUUAUUUUAAAGGAGAAAAUGAUGAAUAGACAUCGAAUAAGAGUAAGGACUGAUCCUUUCUAAAGGUAUCCACUCAAAAUAAGGAUAUGUGUCACUGUGAUUUCUACAUUACCUCCUUGACUGGCCCUAAUUGGGUCAUCACCUUGACCAAAAGCAUAAGAUAAAAAAGGGAGGGGAGGGUAGUAGAAGGAAAGAACCUGGGCUUGAAAACCCUGUAUAUUAUCUCAAGCUUGAGUUCUUAUUCCGGGGCUUGACUCAAGCAUGUUAAUACGUUUGUGAACAAGCUUGUGACUAAGAAUCAUGGUAUAAAUUUGAUCUUCUACUUAUUGUGUCAUUUUCCACUGUAUAAUUUCAGUUUUGGUGGUGCAUUGAUAACGUAUGGGCUCAUUGAUGAUAAUUAAUAAAUCAAUCUAUCUACAUUUCCGUUGUUCAUUAGCUCAUUUAUUCUUCUUGAGACUUUCCCAGGUUGGAAUUCUUCUUCGUUCAAUGGGGUUUUCUCCUAAAACAAUUAUAUAUCUGGCUGGUUCUGAAACAUUUGGGGGUCAACGUGUUCUGGUCCCUUUGCGUGCUAUGUUUCCCAAUUUAGUGGAUCGCACUUCCUUGUGCAGCAAUAAAGAAUUGGCUGAUAUACUUGGACCUGAAACACCUCUUCCGCAAAAUCCAUUUCAUCCACCUCCAGCAAAAAGCGAGGAACAACUUAAAGAAGAAUGGAAGAAGGCUGGUCCUAGGCCUCGGCCUCUUCCUCCACCUCCUGGUAGACCUAUCUAUCAACAUGAAAAAGAAGGCUGGUAUGGUUGGAUUACUGAGACUGACAUCGAACCAGACCUUUCUGCUUUGGAUCUGAGAAUGCAAGCACAUAGACUAAUUUGGGAUGCUCUUGAUUAUAUUGUCUCUGUGGAAGCAGACACAUUCUUUCCUGGUUUUAACAAUGAUGGCAGUGGAUGGCCAGAUUUUUCAAGCUUGGUCAUGGGACACCGUUUGUAUGAGGUUGCUUCUUCUAGAACAUACCGACCAGACAGGCAAGAGAAGAAAAAAAAAGAAUCUAAUUCGACCUUUUAUAUAUGAUUGAUGAUCUUGUUUAACUUUGUGUGUCCUCUUUUCGAACAGGAAAGUUGUAGCACAACUUUUCAACAUGACGAGGGACAAUGUCUACCAUCCCAAGCAUAAUUGGACACUCUCAGUGCAGGAACAUCUUAAGAAAAGCUUAAGUGAGGAAGGCCUUACAAGGCAAUCCGUUGUGUCAAAGCCAGCCUUGUUUAUUUCACACCCACUCCCCGAAUGCUCUUGUAGAAUGUCUUCUGCCGAUGCUCCAGUUCAUGUAAAAGGUAAUGAUGGCCGAACUGUAUAUGGAGGCGAAGAAGAGUGCCCGAAGUGGAUGAAGCAUGGUCAAGAAGUUCCUUUGGAUUCAGCUGGGGAAGAGGGAGUGGAGGACAAUGAAUUGUCCCAGUACGGAAGUACUCUGGACGAACAACCAGAAUCAAAUGACAGUGACAGAACUAAUGCUACUCUCUACUCUGAUCAGGACGAGGAAAUGGACCCGAAUGACUAAAGUUGGAUCUGCAUACGAUCCAGUUCCCAUCUUUUUACUAUACUGCGGCAUUCAGUUUCCAUCGUUUUCUACCAAAAUGGAAAGUUUUGGAGGUAGAGAUGACAUUAACUUCACACAAGACGAGGAUCGAGGACAAAUCGAUGCGCUUGGAGUAAGCCAAUCAGAGUUUGUACACCGUUUUACUGAUAUAAGGUUUAUAUUCAUAGAAAAAGUUAUUACUUGUUAGAUAAGCCACAUGUAAUUUUCUUGUAGAGAACAAAUGACGAGUACAGGAAAUGAUUCAUUGCGGUCUCUCAGAUAAUUUUUUGUCGAUACAUUUCAUUUCGAAAACUGUUCGCUUUCCGUUUUUUAAUCAUGCACUUGCUCGUUUGUUGGCCAGAAUUCGAGCAAAAUUUAGCGGAUUAAAACACAUGUAGCUCACACUGCCUCCUAUUUGUUCAAAUUUUGAACUACAAUGUUAGAGCUCGUUUGGAUGUGCUUUUAAAAUGAUUGAAAGCGCUUUUGAUGAAAAUGUUUUUAGAACCAAUCUUUAGUAAAAAUACAAGUGAAUUCUGAAAAACAUUUAAAGUGCUUCUUAGAAGAAGUACAUAAUUGGUGCUUCUUGCAGAAAGCACUUCAAGUGCUUUUAAAACCUAAAACAAUUUUAUCUAAAAGCACUUUCAAUCAUUUUAAAAGCACAUCCAAACGAACCCUUAUGUAGGAGAGGCUCCUCGCUGGUGCACAGAGGUCCAUUUAGAAAAUUUACUUCGCGGGAGAAAUAUGCAAACAAUCGAGGCAUAUGCCACCACCGCUCAGAGCAAUUUGUGGCUCUCUGUAUGUCACUUUCUUUAAAACUCAAAAGGGCAAAACUACUUAACCCGGAAAAAAUAUAUAGCCUCAUCAGCUCCAAAUCUAAAGCUAGUUAGAUCGAAAAGAAGGAAAUUCAGGCGGCAGCUGCAUGCUUUCUCAGAAGAAAACAAGUCUUGAAUACAGAGAAAAUAUCACAUGCAUACAACUGUAAUUUGUAAUUUCAUAUAAAAAGUUAUACAGCCUCUUUGUUUACAAGCAAAACAAAAUUUCAAGUAAUUUACAUCCUACCGAAACCUCCCAUCAUAGUCCUGUAAGUUGAUACACAUACCAACCCACUCCAGCUUACUGGGUUUCCUCUGGUACAUAUUCCGCUGCCCUAACACCCACCGAAAUGUGAGGUGUCCACACAAAACAUCAGUUUACACAUGGAUCACUUCUAAAUUGCACAACAUAAGAAAACCACACUAACAGAUUACGUUUAUUCGUUACCAGGAACACUUUAUUCAAGUAAUAUCAAACACGAAGUAUUGACCAUAGUAUAGAGAGGUGAAAUGCGCUACCAAAGAUUGCUAUGCUGCUGCUUCUGUGGGCUUCUCAGCAACAGUGGGGCUUGCACUUUCGGCUUCUUUUAUCUGCCUCAUGAUGUCUGACUUUGUCUCAAGUAGGCCUUCUAUUUUGCCAUUGAUCUUCUCUAGCUUCUGUUUCAGCUUUACAACAUCACUGCCUUUGUCCUUUUUAUCGACUUUCCUUUUCUUCUCGCCCUUCUCCCCCUUCUCCCCCUUCACCUUUUUCUCUUUAUCUUUCUUCUCUUUACCCUCCUUUCCUUCAUCUUUCUGCGUCUCCUCCUCUACUUCACACUUUGAUUCCUUUACAUUUUCUUGAGUGUCAAUCUCCCUGGAAGUAACUUCAGCCUUGACCUCCUCCUCAUCCUCUUCAUUUUUGUGUUUCUUCUUUUUGUCCUCCUUGUCUUUCUUCUUCUUUCCUUCUUUUUUGUCAUCUUUUUGCUCAUCGCUCUUCUUCUCUUUUUCAUCAUCACCGUAUUUGUGUUUCUUCUUUUUAUCAUCCUUGUCUUUCUUCUUCUCCCCUUCUUUUUUAUUGCCGUCACCUUUUACUUCAUCACUCUUCUCCUUUUCGCCAUCACCACCCUUGUGUUUCUUCUUUUUAUCGUCUUUCUUCUUCUCCCCUUCUUUUUUAUCAUCGUCACCUUUUACCUCAUCACUCUUCUUCUCUGUUUCAUCAUCACCGCCCUUGUGUUUCUUCUUUUUAUCGUCCUUUCCUUCAUCCUUACGCGUCUCCUCUGCUUCACCCUUUGAUUCCUUUACAUUAUCUUCAAUGUCAAUCUCCCUGGAAGUAACUUCAGCCUUGACCUCCUCCUCAUCCUCUUCAUUUUUGUGUUUCUUCUUUUUGUCCUCCUUGUCUUUCUUCUUCUUUCCUUCUUUUUUGUCAUCUUUUUGUUCAUCGCUCUUCUUCUCUUUUUCAUCACCACCAUCCUUGUGUUUCUUCUUUUUAUCAUCCUUCUCCUUCUUCUCCCCUUCUUUUUUAUCGUAGUCACCUUUUACCUCAUCGCUCUUCUUCUCUUUUUCAUCAUCGCCCUUGUGUUUCUUCUUUUUCUCAUCCUCGUCUUUCUUCUUCUUUCCUUUUUUCUUAUCAUCACCGUCGUUUUCCUCAUCCUUGUCUUUCUUCUCCUUCUUCUUCCCUUCUUUUUCAUCAUCCACCUUUUCCCCUUCCUCUAAAUCUUUACCUUUGUCCUUCUUAUCCUUCUUCUUUUUCUCUUUUUCUCCCCCUUCUAUAUCAUCUUCUUUAUCUUCGUUCUUCUCCUUGUUCUUUUUCUUCUUCUCUUCCUUGUCCUCCUUUUUAUCUUCUUCACUCUCUCCCGCUUCAUUAUCCUUCUCUUUCUUCUUUUCCUUCUUCGUUAUGUCUUUAUCCUUCUUCUUCGAUUUCUCCUCGUCUGC
rnacentral:lncRNA from 1 species